AUGCCUUGGCAGCACAUAUACUAAAAUUGGAAUAAUACAGAGAAGAUUAGCAUGGCUGCUGUACAAGGAUAACAUGUAAAGUCAUGAAGCAUUCCCUAUUUUU
ensembl:snRNA U6 U6 spliceosomal RNA